AUGGGGGAAUUGCUACUAUGGGGUGGCAUGGGCAUGGCGUCACAGGCUGAGGAAGCCUCUGCCCUGGCGCGCCGGCACCGGCGCCGGCGGCGGGCUCUCCGCCACGCCGUCGCCCUCCACGACGCGGUCGCCGAAGAUGUGCACCGUCCUCGGGUUGGGCCCGCGGGAGAUGACGCAGGUGUAGUCCUCGGACGCCGGCCCGUCGUCCUCCUCCGCCGCCGCCCCCGCGCGGGCGGAGCGCAGCGGCAGCCACGAGCUCUUGUUCUUGACGCCGAACUCCACGCGCCGGUCCAGGGAGGACGAGCGCACCAGGGCCGGCGCCUGCGCCCUCACGGCGCCCCGGAGGACGUUCUUCCUCCGCUGGGCCUCGUGGGCGCAGUCCAGCACGUCGGCGAGCCCGUGCGGGCCCGCGCACCCGUCGCACCAGGGCCGGCGCUUGCCCCCUCCGGCGUCCACGGCCGGGCCGGGCGACCCGAAGGCCGCCGACGCGUCCAGCACGGAGGUCGGGCUCAUGGCGUAGGCGGACAACGCCUCUGGGUCCCGCGCGGGGCUCCCGAUGACGACCGCGGCGCGGCCGCCGGCGGGGAGCGACGACGAGUGCAGCAGCCUCGGCGCGGCGAACGACGGCGCGCGAGCAGCACCCUUGCCACCUCCGCCGGCGUCGCACGAAGCCGUGGGCGAGCUGCCGGCGUGCUGCGCGGCGCCGUUCAUGGACCUGGACCUCCUCCUGAGGAUCAUCUCCUGGACCUUCGAUCUGAACAUGUCAAGAGCCAGCCUGACAGAGCAGCCAAAUCCCGACGCUUCCCUCCCGGAGAGAGCCGAUCAGCGGCUUGCAGCAGAGAAGAGCAAGCAAGCUCGAGCUCGCUGGUGAAUGGGGGCGAGCGGGUGUCACCGGGCGAGAAGAAGACGAGAGGAGGUGGGGAGAGAGAGAGAGAGAGAGAGAGAGGUGUGGGAGAGGGCAAUGGGGGCGGGUGGUGA
rnacentral:rRNA from 1 species